ACUCGCCGCAAACUGGAAGAGACACGCCGUCCCAGGAAACGUGUUGAUGUCGCACGGGGCAUUUUGAUACAUCAAGAUUAUAAUGGGAUCUCAAUAGAUCUUGGCUGCUGUACAAUCGUCCUUGGCAGUAAUGUUGGCUGAGAUUAAAACACUGCUUGCGCAUCGCCUUGUUAGUGGUGAACAGUGAGAUGUGGGAGCAGAUGAGGAUGGAGGGAGGGAACUUUCUCAGACACCAGCACCUUCUCAGAUAGCAAACUCCUACGCGCAGAAGUUGGAAAUCCCCCCAGUGUUAAUGUCUAUUAGUGUCUAUUUGUUUAGCUGAUAUAUAUGCAGGAUAUUUUCUUGAAAACCAAUUUGCAUUAAGAUAUGUGAGAUGAAAGUGCAGAUUUACAGUACCAAUGCAAGAUAGCCAGUUUGUGCCUGCAGUAUGUACAGAAUGUGUGGCCAAGCCACACUCCCAGAACUCAUUUAAAAAUCAAUUUGCAGAAAAAGGGCAUUAGCGCUAAGCUUCAUACAUACAAUUUUAUAGAACCAGUGAACUAACAGAUAUAAAUUUUUAAAAAUGUAAUUUGACUUUUUUUUGUUGCACCUUAUCAAAAUAAUGUGACAAUGUACUGAAUAACUCAGACAUGAGAUUGCUGAGAAAUAUUGUGAAAUCUACUCUUGAACAACAUAUUCAAAAAUAAAUACAUUCCAAUAGUUA